GUAUCCACGUAAAUCUCUGUAACAUUUAUUCCUGAUUCAUAAACUUUUUUUAUUAAGUCAAUUGUCGUAUCAUGUGCUUGAAGAUUUAAAUUAUACUUGUUCCGGUACCUCAGCAUUCCUGCAGCUAAUUCUCUUGCGGAAAUAGACAUAGUAGACCAUCCAACGUUUUUUCCUAGCUCGUUAGAUUUGUUGCAAAUUAAUUUCAGAAGUUCCUCUCGCUUUAAGGAGGCCAAAGUUUUACUGUCAGCAAACCCAUAGUUGGUCAAAUCGAAAUCGACUGGACAGUAAGCGACAGCAUAUACCAUAGGUCCUAAGACAGGGCCUCUACCAGCUUCAUCUACUCCUAAUCGAUAUGGCUGACUCUUGGAAAUAUCAUCAGUGACUGUUGAAUGAUAGUAAUUCGAUUUUGCGGGAUUCGAUUUAUUAACUGAAGGUGGUAAAAAAGUUAUUGAAGAAUUUUGGUCUUCUUGUAGCUCAUUUUCUGAAGAGUUAUUGUCACUGACUAGUUCUUCUGGUUCCCAUGCAUCGUGAUCAUCUUUCAUGUUGAGAUUGCUGCUUUGUAUCUUUUAAAGAAUUAUCAGAGUACUUCUAAUAUUUGGCUCAAAAACUGAAUAAAAAAAUAAAUAAAGGGGUUGAAGGAAUGCGCAAAUAGGCCUAACACAGUUUUCUUUCGUUCGUGGUUUUAAUUAGCGGUACUACGGUAAAACGAUGUAAAUAAAAAAAAAAGAAAAGCCAGACA